rnacentral:rRNA from 1 species
GUAGGUGGCAAGCGUUGUCCGGAAUUAUUGGGCGUAAAGCGCGCGCAGGUGGUUCUUUAAGUCUGAUGUGAAAGCCCCCGGCUCAACCGGGGAGGGUCAUUGGAAACUGGGGAACUUGAGUGCAGGAGAGGAAAGUGGAAUUCCACGUGUAGCGGUGAAAUGCGUAGAUAUGUGGAGGAACACCAGUAGCGAAGGCGACUUUCUGGUCUGUAACUGACACUGAGGCGCGAAAGCGUGGGGAGCAAACAGGGAUUAGAUACCCUGGUAGUCCACGCCGUAAACGAUGAGUGCUAAGUGUUGGGGGGGUUUCCCGCCCCUCAGUGCUGCAGCUAACGCAUUAAGCACUCCGCCUGGGGAUACGGUCGCAAGACUG